AUUGAACGCUGGCGGCAUGCCUUACACAUGCAAGUCGAACGGUAACAGGUCUUCGGAUGCUGACGAGUGGCGAACGGGUGAGUAAUACAUCGGAACGUGCCCGAUCGUGGGGGAUAACGAAGCGAAAGCUUUGCUAAUACCGCAUACGAUCUACGGAUGAAAGCAGGGGACCGCAAGGCCUUGCGCGAACGGAGCGGCCGAUGGCAGAUUAGGUAGUUGGUGGGAUAAAAGCUGACCAAGCCGACGAUCUGUAGCUGGUCUGAGAGGACGACCAGCCACACUGGGACUGAGACACGGCCCAGACUCCUACGGGAGGCAGCAGUGGGGAACUUUGGACAAUGGGCGAAAGCCUGAUCCAGCCAUGCCGCGUGCAGGAUGAAGGCCUUCGGGUUGUAAACUGCUUUUGUACGGAACGAAAAGACUCUGGUUAAUACCUGGGGUCCAUGACGGUACCGUAAGAAUAAGCACCGGCUAACUACGUGCCAGCCGCCGCCGUAAAAC
rnacentral:rRNA from 1 species